UUAUGGUCCAUGUGUUGGCUCUUCAGACAUGUACCAUCACAAUGACAGGUAAAUAACAUCUAUAUAUAAAUGCAAAUUUAUUACUGAUAAUAGAGAGACAGAAGCUGUUAGUUAUUGAUAUGGAUUCUCAUAGUGGUCUUUUGUUUUUGUCUCUGUCUUUCUCACUAAAAUCAAAAGUGUUUGAAAAGAUUCUCUUUAUCUUUCUAUCUAUCACUCUUCUGUGUGUUGUGUGUCCAUUGUACUUUCCACUUAGUGAUUUGUGCCCACCAUUUUGUCUUAAUAUACAAAACUUGUCCCCACUAGCACAUCAUCAGCAUCACUGUGAUCAACUUUUGAUCCAUCAUUGAUACUUCCUCGCUUCUUUGCUUUAACACAAGUUUUUUUUUUGUUUUUGUGAUUGUAUUGAUUUGAGUCUCGACAUGACGUUCUUGAAACAGUUGCCAAACUUGCACAGAAUCCUAGCCAAGUGUGCUUUAAAUGUGAUGUUUUGCACUAUGAGUUAACAAGUAUCGAACUUUGUGUCUGUGUGGUUGUGACUUGCGGCCAAAGCGGAGGAGAAGUACAAAAGAAGGACCCACAGGCGGAAGAAGAUUUGUAUUCUUUGCGUGUUGGAUAAUGGUUUAGUGAGCCCAAGUCACUACCUGCCACACACUCUAUUAACUGCCAGAAAGCUCCAUACUACAAUCAAAGAAACGUCUCUUUCUUUGUGGAGAUUAAAUGUUCUCAAGCAUCGUUUAAGUUCUUAGUGAGAUCUUGAUCUUGUUUAGAGAUUUUCAUGUUUAGCUUCUCCGCUC
rnacentral:lncRNA from 1 species